rnacentral:rRNA from 1 species
AGUGAACGCUGGCGGUAGGCCUAACACAUGCAAGUCGAACGGCAGCACAGUAAGAGCUUGCUCUUACGGGUGGCGAGUGGCGGACGGGUGAGGUAUACAUCGUAAUCUACUUUUUCGUGGGGGAUAACGUAGGGAAACUUACGCUCAUACCGCAUACGCCCUACGGGUGAAAGCAGGGGAUCUUCGGACCUUGCGCGAUUGAAUGAGCCGAUGUCGGAUUAGCUAGUUGGCGGGGUAAAGGCCCACCAAGGCGACGAUCCGUAGCUGGUCUGAGAGGAUGAUCAGCCACACUGGAACGGAGACACGGUCCAGACUCCUACGGGAGGCAGCAGUGGGGAAUAUUGGACAAUGGGCGCAAGCCUGAUCCAGCCAUACCGCGUGGGUGAAGAAGGCCUUCGGGUUGUAAAGCCCUUUUGUUGGGAAAGAAAAGCAGCAGGUUAAUACCCCGCUGUUCUGACGGUACCCAAAGAAUAAGCACCGGCUAACUUCGUG